AACGAACGCUGGCGGCGUGGAUAAGACAUGCAAGUCGAACGGGACUAAAUCUGUAGCAAUACAGGUUUAGUUUAGUGGCGAACGGGUGCGUAACACGUGGGCAAUCUGCCGAGAAGUGGGGGAGUAGCUCGCCGAAAGGACGAAUUAAUACCGCAUAUGAUCAGUGAAGACAUCUUCACGACAUCAAAGACCGGGGCGAACCUGGCGCUUCUUGAUGAGCCCGCGGCCUAUCAGCUAGUUGGUGAGGUAACGGCUCACCAAGGCUAUGACGGGUAGCUGGUCUGAGAGGACGACCAGUCACACUGGAACUGAGACACGGUCCAGACACCUACGGGUGGCAGCAGUCGAG
rnacentral:rRNA from 1 species